rnacentral:rRNA from 1 species
CCUACGGGUGGCAGCAGUGGGGAAUAUUGGGCAAUGGGCGCAAGCCUGACCCAGCAACGCCGCGUGAAGGAAGAAGGCUUUCGGGUUGUAAACUUCUUUUGACAGGGAAGAGUAGAAGACGGUACCUGUCGAAUAAGCCACGGCUAACUACGUGCCAGCAGCCGCGGUAAUACGUAGGUGGCAAGCGUUGUCCGGAUUUACUGGGUGUAAAGGGCGUGUAGCCGGGUUGACAAGUCAGAUGUGAAAUCCUGCGGCUUAACCGCAGAACUGCAUUUGAACCUGUUGAGCGUGAGUACGGGAGAGGUAGGAGGAAUGCGUGGUGUAGCGAUGAAAUGCAUAGAUAUUAGGAGGAACACC